rnacentral:piRNA from 1 species
UUCAAUAGUGUUAAUAAACUUUAAUGA